GACGAACGCUGGCGGCGUGCUUAACACAUGCAAGUCGAACGGAAAGGCCCUGCUUUUGUGGGGUGCUCGAGUGGCGAACGGGUGAGUAACACGUGAGUAACCUGCCCUUGACUUUGGGAUAACUUCAGGAAACUGGGGCUAAUACCGGAUAGGAGCUCCUGCUGCAUGGUGGGGGUUGGAAAGUUUCGGCGGUUGGGGAUGGACUCGCGGCUUAUCAGCUUGUUGGUGGGGUAGUGGCUUACCAAGGCUUUGACGGGUAGCCGGCCUGAGAGGGUGACCGGCCACAUUGGGACUGAGAUACGGCCCAGACUCCUACGGGAGGCAGCAGUGGGGAAUAUUGCACAAUGGGCCGAAGCCUGAUGCAGCAACGCCGGGUGCGGGAUGACGGCCUUCGGGUUGUAAACCGCUUUCGCCUGUGACGAAGCGUGAGUGACGGUAAUGGGUAAAGAAGCACCGGCUAACUACGUG
rnacentral:rRNA from 1 species